UCAAUUUUUCAUUAAGCUGCUUGAGUUUCUGGUUUGUUUAUAAGCAUCAGGUGCAAUUUCUGUUUUCAGUAAACUAAAAAAGUGCUUAUAACCACUUUCAACCCUUAUUUGGAUCUUCACACGUGGUAUAAGUUAUUAUUUUUUGGACAUGUUCAUUUGACUAGUAGUCUCCAUAUGUCUCUUCUGAUUAUUUACUGGACAUGGGUAAUUGCUCAAGUUUUUUUACUGCCAGGACAUAUCCAACUAGCAGUUUAUUUUGUAAAUCACAGGGUAAUUGCUCAAGUUUUUUACUUCUAGGACUUGUCCAACUAGCAAUUUAUUUUCUAAAUCACUGCAUAAGCUUCUAGUGCUUUAAGCAGCUUCCGUCGCAAAGCCAAAUGUGUUUAUGGACUGUUUGUAGGUAUUAGUAGCUAAUUGUCUAUAUUCAGGUAAAUCAUACAAAACGUGAGCUGCACAAUGUCUUCAUCAGGAAGCUUUACAGAGAGAACUUGUUCGAAGAGAUGUUGCAGGAACCAGAGGAGGUAGCUUUGAAGAGAAAGCGGACACGAGAAACGCUCCGUGUUCUUCAACAGGCUUUCAGGACGCUGGAUGAAUUGCCACUGGAAGCUGAAUCAGUUGAGAGGGGUUACAGCAUGGCUGCUGAUCCGACUGGGUUGCCAAAGAUUCAUGGAUUGCCGACAUCAUCAAUUUAUUCAACAAGUAGUGGUUCUAGUGAUUCAUAUGCAGCUUCUCCUAAAAACCUGAAGUCCCGAAAAUCAUCCCACUCAGGGGAACUACCAUCACAUUUAUAUAGUAAUGCAGAAUCUAAUGGAAGUGGGCGUAUGCCAAGCCUUUAUCCCACCGUUGAUCUGUAGGCCUUUUCAUUCUUCUUACAGUGUCAAAGGCAUUAUAUUCAUUUGAUUGCUGUUCCAAGUUCUCUGCCAAUGCUAAUGAAAGAAUCUUCUUGGAAAGCUGGCGCAUUAGGAAAUUGGUAUUCUUGUCUAACUAGUUAAUGCAAGUUUAUAUUUAUAUGUUGCUUACAGCCGUAUGCCCUUUUGGUUCUCUUAUAUAAGAUAUAGGGUUAUAAUUGCAUUUUUUAGGAGGCUUCAAAAAGAAAUAAUAAGGGAUUAAGUAACCCUCGAUUUUUUGUUCCAAGCAACAGCUUUCCACAUUUUUCUAGGCAAGUUUUUAUAUUUUGAGGUUUUGUAAGUCAAAGGCAGCAGAGCUGCAAAUAUUUGGUUGGUGUUGUUUCUUGUUACUUGGUUUCAUAUUGUAUUAUGAGAUACCCAUUUAGCAGAGGCCUGCAUUUUUGUAAAGAAGCAUUUAGAAUUUCUAGUUUUUAGCAA